CCUGGGUGCUGGGAUUAAAGGCAUGGGUCGCCACCAUCUGGUUUAGAUCUUGUUUAUUUUUUUAAUGCUAGGGGUAGUACCGUUGGUUUCAAAUAUGCUAAGCACACAUUCUCAAUGAAGCUUCACCCUUGGUGCCUGGGGCUUCAUCCCAAAGGAAUCUAUCUGCACAGCAGCACAUGAUGGGUAAAAUCAAUGAACACACAAAGGAGUGUGCACUUUUAUCUCUAUUACCUGUCAUGUGGAGGGAGGGUACUUUUCUAACGUUCUAAAAUUAAGCUGGACAUGGUGCCCUGUGUCUGUAAUCCUAUCCCUAAGGAGGUAGAGGCAGAAGGAUCGGGAAUUCAAGGACAGCCUGGACUGUCUCAAGAAAAAAAGGGGGGGGGCGGGUUUCUAAAAUUAAAGAAUAAAAGAAUUCUAUGUGAGGAUGGGCUCGCUGUCUCAAUCCUCUUUAUUCUUUGCUAGAUCUUGAAGAAAAAGAUAAAAAGGAAAUAUGCGACAAAAUGACAGCUUUUAAAGAAUAAUAGAAAGAAAAGAAAACUCUUCCUUCUGAACAUAAGAGUAGCACAUGCUGUAUGAAAAGGAAUUUGGGGGUCAAAGGUCACCUGUCAUUUGUCUCCCUGAAGGCACUGAUGUCACAUUUCCUGUACAUGCAGAUAGAUUUUGGGGAGGGAGGAGUUUGAGACAGGAUUUAUCUGAGUAACACUAGCUAUCCUGAAACUUACUCUGUAAACCAGGCUCGUCUCUUGGAACUAAAGGCAUGUGUCACCACCACACUUGGCUCAGGUAAAUGUUUUUACAUGAGAUGGAGCUGUUAGAACGAGGGCAGGAGGCAUCUCUGGAGAGCCGUGCUUGCCAUGAGCCUUCUUCCUGCCCCUUUUUCUGAACGUAACCCUGAGCUGGCCUGGUCUGGCCUGGCCUGGCCUGGUUGGUUGCCCUUUGUCCCAAGAGAGGAAAGGUUACUAGUUGGCUAGGUAACCUGGUGUUAAUUGUUAACCUGACAGAAUCUGGAGUCACCGGGGAGCUGGGGGAGUAGGGGUUCUUUUGAUUCUGUUCAUUGGUGUGGGAAGCCCUGAGUUAAUUGUGGGUGGGACCUGAGCUAUGUAAGUAGAAAAGGAGAGUUGAGCAUGAGUGUGCACCUUUGCACGCCCUUCCUGGUCAUGGAUGGGACGUGAUUAGCUCCCUCAGGAUCCUGCCAUGGAUGUCCCUGCUAUGACAGGGUCUAACCUGGAACCGUGAGCCAACGCCAAUCCCUUCUCCCUUAAAACAGUGGAUGAGAAUGGGCAGAGAGCCACCUUCAAUGUCUGCUCUGUCUUGGUCUGUAGAGGCAGUGACCCUGCUCAGGAAAGAGAUCACGGGCCUGGGGUUGUAACUAGGUGCUGAAGUGCUUAAAUGAAGUGCACAGAGGGCCCUGGGUUCACUGCCGCCGCCCCCCUCCCACUGUUGUAGAUACACGGAGGUGGGGAGGGACAGAGAGCAAGAAGAGAGGAGGGAGGAGAGGCUCCUGUUUCUUCAUUCCCAGAAUCCACCACUCUAUGAGUUCCUGGUGGGCAGAAUGGUGUCGGUCAUGUUUGGUCUAACUCCAGUUGAACACGGUUGGGGAGAUUCUCCUGGGGAUAGAGUCCUGACCCCACUGUGGAGUACACUAGGUGUGACAGUAGUUCUAUUCCAUCCCUCCAUGCUGAGUGCCCUUUGUGGAUACCCACAGAGCCACUUGCUUCUUGGGGUCGAGAGCCCAGUAUCCCUAGUGCCUCCUCCCCACUCCCGUCUCCUGUGUUUGUGUCCAUCUAUCCUGUUGCCCUUGCCCUGCACCUGGCCCCAGAAUCCACUUACUUGAUGAAACUCUUAAAACUGAGUCACUGAAGCAAUGCUUUAGGGACUGGGGCUUCACACCAAGAGCCAGCCCCACCAUGCCAGACGUAUGAAUGUACCAUCCUCAGCCUCAGGUCAAGCUCAGAUGCCUGCAGCUCCUGAGAGUCUCCGAACCAGAGCUGCCAAACUGGGUUCUGGAAUGGGCCACGCACAGAAACUGUGAUGUAACACAGUCCACUCCUAACAGGCACAGUGAUGUACAACCCAGCUACUUAGGAGCCCCAAGGCAAGAGGACCGUUUACGUCCAGGAGUUUGAAGCCAGCCUGCACGACAGAACAGCACCCCAGCUCGUUGAACCGCUUAAUUUAGGGCUAAUUAAUUACACAGUAGAGAGGAGUGAACUCUUGAUUGCUACUGUUCCUUCUGGGGUCAGUACGCCAGGAGAAACCAUCCAGAAAAGAAGAGGCCCCAUGAGUUAGGUGGGGGUACAGUGCUAAUAAAAGGGCCACUUCGCCCCACAGUGGGCCUAGGACCUCGUGAACCAGUCAGUCCUGAGGCUUAAUGCCAGUGUGUGCUUCAGAAGGGCUCAGAAGGGAUACCUGGCCCCAGAGAUGCUCACUCAAGGACUCGGGUGACAAAGCACCAACGUGGAUCAUGUGGCUCAUGACCUAGCGCAGGCCCUGUGUCUGGAGUGAGCUGAGGACUGUGUUCUUGAGUAGUUGCUUGUCUUGUUGCUAUGACAAAACUGACAGAAGCAGUUUAGCGGUUGAAGGGUUACCUUUUGCCACGGUUUCUGGGGAUACCAUCUACCUAGUAGGGAUGGUUGGGCAGUAGGAAAGAUAUCAGCCACAUUACGUCCACAGUCAGGAAGCAGAAAGCCAUGGAGGUUCUUGCUUAUCUAGCUUUCUCCCUUUUAUGCAAUCCAAGACCCCAGCCCACAUGAGGGGAAGGGUUCCCACCUAAUCCUACCUAGAAAAUCCUUCACAAAUACGUCCAGAUCUUUGUCCAAGAUGUUCUCAAUUCUGUCAAGCUAGCAACCAACUGAACCAUGGCCCUUUCACUACACGAAGUAAGAACUGGGGGGAAGCAGCUUGGUGGUGUAGUCCUGGCCUAGGAGGCCUGGAUUUUGUCAGCCUUUAUCAGUCUAUGAUUAACCCUGCCCUUCCCAUGAGGACAAGCAGAAGUACCUGCUGUGUGGCCUCCUCCUGAGAGCUGACCGGACCAGCACAAGACAGUACAUUUCUUCUGCUAAUGGGAGCUCAUGUCUAAGAUGUCUUUACCCCUCCCCUCUCUGUCCCUGAGGUUCUGGGAAGUCAGCCCUCUUCUCAGUCUCUAGGCUUUCCUGGUUGUUUCUGAGGCGGAGCGCCCCAGAAACAGGUGGCCACAGGGCAGCUGAGAAAGAGGAAGCAACCAGACCGAUGCAGCCCAAACAGGCUUCUCAGCCAAAGACGGGAAGACCCCUCAGAGCGAGCAGACACCCUGGGAGACAUGGGAUACCUGGAGGUGGGUCUAGGCGGGUGGGCCUACCCAUGGUCUUCUUUCAGUGCCGGCAGUCACCGUGACCCUUCCCCUGCGCAGGAAGUUUGCUACAAAACACAGAUUGUUUGCACACUGUGGACUACUUUGUUUCAUUUUUGCUGUCUUCCUCUCUUUUGGUUUAUUCAUUUCUCUGCUGGGUUUGUCACUUAAGAAGUCAAGGUCACCGGCCUCCCCAUACCCACGAGUGACAAUUUCCAUUUCCAACCCUCCACCGGAAGCAGUGCUGCGCUUGGGUUGGAUGUUACAGGGGCUCUGCAGAGGCCCCAUAGAUCACGAAGGAAAUGAAUCAGCCCAGUUGCUUUUGGGUUUUCUUGUUGCUGCUGCCUGUUUUUCACAAGUCUUUCCUGAGCAGUGCCUUUCAUGUUAAACAUUAACAUCAACUUCCAAGUCCCAAAGAACAUUGCACUGCUCCGUGCACUGCCCAGAGGGUGAAUAAAGAAACCCACGAUGAACGAGUUAAUUCUGAGCUUCUUGGACAUCAUUAUACCAGGAUGCGUGUGGUGCUGCACGUCUUCAAUCUGAGCACUGAGAGGCGGAGGACGGGUGGAGCUCUGUGAGUUUGAAGCCAGCCUGGUCUACAUACAGGUCCUGUGAUGAUCUUUCCAUUGAUGCUAUCAACCAAGGAGGAACACCUUGACUUUCCUUAGGAGUCUGUUGCCCCCCAAUGGUCGCCAGCAGUUCCCGUGGUCCACGGGACAGCCAGCAUGAGGCCAUGUGAAAUCCAGCCUGAGACUGUGCCUUCUUCCUUGGCAUGAGGGUGGUAUCUGCUGUGGCCACUGCUUUGGUGACUAUCUUCCUGCCAAGCGCCUCCAGCUACCUCCUUCCACCUACUUGUGCUUCUUUCUCCUUUCUGUCUCAUGCCAGCUCCCUCAGUGGAAAGACUGAGUGUCCUUAAAGGAUCCUUCCUCAGCCCCUGACACCCAGGAACCUACUCAGCUUAAAAACAGCCUUCUUCAGCCUGCUGCCUGCUGCCUCCUCACCGAGAACUGGAGGCUUCCAACUAGGGUGCCUCCCCCUUAACCCACACAUCCUUAGGCGACUGAGCCUGAGCGGAGUGAAAGGUUCUCUCUGACAUGGUUAGCAGAGGCUCAGAGCUUACAGAAGUUACUGACUAUACAGAAAUGCCAUGAGAACGGCAUGCAGGAAGAACCAAUUACAGGGUGGCCUGGGGGCUCUCUCCCUGUGUGCACCCGGCACACUGAGAGGUGUCAGUGUAGUGGUAGACAGUGAUAUAGAUGAAGAUAUCAGCUGAGAAUGAGGGGAAGAGGAGGCCUACUGAGCACAUAGAGAGACACUGUCUAAAGUUAAAUAAAUAAGUCCUAUUCAUGGUAGUACGCACUUGUAAUUUUAGAGCUGGGAGGUAGAGGCAAGGUCUGUCCUACCCACAGCAGUGAUUUGAAUGGGAAUGGCCCUAAUAGACUCCUGUAUCUGCACACUCAGUCCUCAGCUGGAGAACUGUUUGAGAAGGAUUAGGAGGUGUGGCCUUGGAGGAGGAGCGUAACUAAGGGUGGGCUUUGGAGGUUUCAAAGCCUAAGCCAGGCCCAUUCUUUCUCCCUUUCCCUCUCCCCCUCCCCCUCCCCUUCUCUCUCCCUUUCCCUCUCCUUUCUCUCUCUCCCGACCUACAGAUCAGAUUGUAGCUCUCCUCUACUACUGCUCCAGCACCAUACCUGCCUCCUCGAGGCCAGUGUGCUCCCCACCAUGAUGAUGAUGGACUAACCCUCUGAAAUUGUAAGCAAUGCUCCGAUUAAAUAUUGCCCUUUAUAAGAGUCGCCUGGGACAUGAUGACUCUUCACAAUAAGAGGUCAUCUUGAGGUGAGAUCACCCAUGUGAUGAGUUCAAGUCCAGCCUGAGCUACAUAAGACCCUAUCUCAAAAUGGAAUCAGCUACUCAAACACAUGACAUACGUAGCAAGUGUCUAGAGUCCAGCCCACAGUAAUCUACGAACAUACUCGUUUCCUAAAUUGUAGUGUUUUGGGGAUGAGAACUAUCCCCUAGAGGCUCAAGGAUUUGAACUUGGUCCCCUGUGGUUUUGGGGUCAUUUAAGAUACAAAGCCUCCAAAGUUUUGGAGGACGUAUGUCACUGGGGGUGGACUUGGAUAUUACAUAGGCUCACCCCAUCCGCAACUCACUCUCCUGCUUUGUACUUGUGGUAGAGAUAUGAGCUUUCAAUUUUCUGAUCCGGCCACCAUGCCUACCUGCUGUCAUGCCUCCCAAUGAUGAAUUCUUACUCUCUGGAACAGAAGCCCAAAUAAAUUCUUCUCUCUAUAAA
rnacentral:sRNA from 1 species